rnacentral:rRNA from 1 species
UACGAAGGGGGCUAGCGUUGUUCGGAUUUACUGGGCGUAAAGCGCACGUAGGCGGAUCGUUAAGUCGGGGGUGAAAUCCUGGAGCUCAACUCCAGAACUGCCUUCGAUACUGGCGAUCUCGAGUCCGGAAGAGGUGAGUGGAACUCCUAGUGUAGAGGUGGAAUUCGUAGAUAUUAGGAAGAACACCAGUGGCGAAGGCGACUCACUGGUCCGGUACUGGCGCUGAGGUGCGAAAGCGUGGGGAGCAAACAGG